rnacentral:tRNA from 1 species
AUUUAAGUAUUUUAACUAAAAUAGAGGUUUGUGGUACUUCAGACGUAAUUUCUUUACCUUAAAUU